CAGAAAUUGAACUAAGCAAAAAAUUGGGGGAAAGGUUGUAGAUCGAUUGUUUAACUUUUUUACUAAAUCGAUACCACACACGAUUCCCCGCGUUAUAGUCUCCAUCUUGACAUUUCUGUGCUCGCUCUCGUCAAGUGAAAAUUCUCCCGUUGAAUUCAAGUUUAUUUGGUACUCUGUGAUCUAUCGUCACCAAUGGAGCAGCUAUGUAGGAUAUUUACCUUAGUAAAUCAGGGGUCGCCGAUACAGAAGUUUCGAGUUUGAUGAUGUUCGCCAAAAAACUUUUUAUUUGACGUUCCACUCACUUUGGCGGAACCGGUUGGAAAUCAAAGUUGCCCACACCCACUCCCUCCCUUUCUGAAAAGGAAGGACCGGGUUAAAAAGCGGAUGGGCCCUAAUAAGGCCGUGAUAGGACGCGUUUGAUAUUUGGACAUUGGAAGCGCCUCAGUUUAACAUAAAGGAUCAAUUGGACGGAGGUCUGUACGCGUCUUGGAGCGUCUUGAGCGGCUUGAAAUGUUCGCCGAACUUCUCCUCUGGUAUGA